GACGAACGCUGGCGGCGUGCUUAACACAUGCAAGUCGAACGGAAAGGCCCUGCUUUUGUGGGGUGCUCGAGUGGCGAACGGGUGAGGAACACGUGAGUAACCUGCCCUUGACUUUGGGAUAACGUCAGGAAACUGGGGCUAAUACCGGAUAGGAGCUCCUGCUGCAUGGUGGGGGGUGGAAAGUUUCGGCGGUUGGGGAUGGACUCGCGGCUUAUCAGCUUGUUGGUGGGGUAGUGGCUUACCAAGGCUUUGACGGGUAGCCGGCCUGGGCGGGUGACCGGCCACAUUGGGACUGAGAUACGGCCCAGACUACUACGGGAGGCAGGAGUGGGGAAUAUUGCACAAUGGGCGGAAGCCUGAUGCAGCCACGCCGCGUGCGGGAUGACGGCCUUCGGGUUGUAAACCGCUUUCGCCUGUGACGAAGCGUGAGUGACGGUAAUGGGUAAAGAAGCACCGGCUAACUACGUG
rnacentral:rRNA from 1 species